CCCUUAGAUGUCCGGGGCUGCACGCGCGCUACACUGAAGGAAUCAGCGUGCUAAAACCAUUGUCGAAAGGCAUUUGUAAACCCAUUAAAAUCCUACGUGAUUGGGAUCGGGAAUUGCAAUUAUUUCCCUUGAACGAGGAAUUCCCAGUAAGUGUGGGUCAUAAGCUCGCGUUGAUUACGUCCCUGCCCUUUGUACACACCGCCCGUCGCUGCCCGGGACUGAGCCGUUUCGAGAAAAGCGGGGACUGCUGCUGUCGGGGCUUUCGGGCCUUGGCUUCGGUGGAAACCGCUUUAAUCGCAGUGGCUUGAACCGGGCAAAAGUCGUAACA
rnacentral:rRNA from 1 species